UACGGUGGUUGCAAGCGGUGUUCGGCAUUACUGGGCGUAAAGAGCGUGUAGGCGGCUGACCAAGUCCGGUGUGAAAGCCCGGGGCUUACGCCCGGAAGUGCGCUGGAAAAUGGUCGACUAGAGUAUGGGAGAUGGAAGUGGAAUUCCUGGUGUAGCGGUGAAAUGCGUAGAUAUCAGGAGGAACACCGGCGGCGAAGGCGGAUUCCUGGCCCAAUACUGACGCUGAGACGCGAAAGCGUGGGGAGCAAACAGG
rnacentral:rRNA from 1 species